CCCUACGGGGUGCAGCAGGUCUAUGAUGUGGCCCACAAUACCGCCAAAUUGGAGGAGCACACCGUCGAAGGCAGCCAAAGGCAGCUUCUGGUGCAUCGCAAGGGGGCCACACGCGCCUUUGGGCCGGGGUCGAGGGAGCUGCCGGACAUUUACAGGAAGACCGGGCAGCCGGUCAUUGUGGGCGGAAGCAUGGAAACCGGAUCGUACCUGCUGGCAGGAGUGGAACAAGGGGGGCAGACCUUUUUCAGCACUGCUAACGGAAGCGGUCGGACCAUGAGCAGACACCAGGCCAAGAGGCAAUUUCACGGAAAAAAACUCUUGGAGGAUAUGGAAAAGAGGGGCAUUUACCUGCGAACCGCUUCUUUCUCGGAAUUGGCGGGAGGGC
rnacentral:rRNA from 1 species